rnacentral:lncRNA from 1 species
ACAAUUGAGUGAAAUAUGGGAAGAAACCUUCUCCUCACACCUACCCUUUCUUCAUUCUCUUCUGCUCUGCAGGGGCUUCCACCGGCACCCUUAGAUUUUCCUUUUUCAUUCCUUAGAUGGAGGCAGCGUUAAUUUAGGAUGCAAAGCAUCUGCAGAGGAAAAGAUUUAUGCCUCCACUGCUCACACAUGAUGGUCCUGAUCCAGAGAGGAACCUCUCAUGCUUGCUUCUAAGUUAAAAAUCAAGGGAGACUCAGUUGCUCAGAGAAUCUUUUGGGGCUAAUCCAAUUGUUAAUCCCAGAUGAGUCAGACCCAUGUAAAUCCCACUGAUUCCGUGGCUGAACUCAAGUAACAAGUUACAACUAGAGUAGACCUAUUGAAUCAGUGGAAUUUACAGAGGAGCUGGCUCAGCAAUUUCCCACUGAUUCAGUGAGCCUACUCUAUUUGUGAUUUUUCCUGGAUUUCAGCUAUUGCAUCUAUGCUGGCUUCAGCAAGCAAUGGGAUUUAGCCCUUAAAAUGUAGUUUAAUUGGUAGAGCACAUGCUUUGUAUCUUUAAUCUCUGAUAUCAAAGGAACACUCAUGAAAUCAUGGAGUGAGCCAUUGCCUACCAGUGUGAGCAAUACUGAGCUGGAUUGGGAAAUGGUCUGCCUCUGUCUGUCCCAAAUGGACCCACCAGCCAGUUUCCAAUUAAGAACACAUAAAACAAUGAAGCACAGGAGAAACCUCAACAGCAGCUCAACAGAACGAAAUGGAGCAGUAAACGAUGAAGCCAUGAAGAGCCAGGUAUUUGUCAAAGCCUUAUUAAAAGGAAAUCUGUUAAUGCGGAACAAGUUAGAAAUAAAACCUGUAACAAGAGGUGGUGCUGGGAUUCGGUGCCCUUCAUCAUCAGUGCUGACAUGACCAUACGACCACAUCACAGCACCGCCCCCCUAGAGUCAGACACGACUAGACUAAAUUUCAAGGUGAAUCUUUACCUUACCUGAGGGACAACUGACUUACUUUUAAAUACAACUUUAAAUAAUUCUCUCUCUCUCUCUCUCUCUCUCUGUGUGUGUGUGUGUGUGUGUGUGUGUGUGUGUGUGUGUGUGUGUGUGUGUGUGUGUGUGUGUGUGAGAGAGAGAGAGAGAGAGAGAGAGA